CUACGGGAUGCAGCAGUGAGGAAUUUUGCGCAGUGGGGGAAACCCUGACGCAGCGACGCCGCGUGGACGAUGAAGGCCUUAGGGUUGUAAAGUCCUGUCAGCAGGAAAGAAAUGUGCAUAAGUUAAUACCUUAUGCAUUUGACGGUACCUGCAAAGGAAGCACCGGCUAACUCCGUGCCAGCAGCCGCGGUAAUACGGAGGGUGCAAGCGUUAAUCGGAAUUACUGGGCGUAAAGGGCGCGUAGGCGGCCCUGUUAGUCAGAUGUGAAAGCCCCCGGCUCAACCGGGGAAGUGCAUCUGAAACUGCAGGGCUUGAAUAUGGGAGAGGAAAGUGGAAUUCCCGGUGUAGAGGUGAAGUUCGUAGAUAUCGGGAGGAACACCAGUGGCGAAGGCGACUUUCUGGACCAAUAUUGACGCUGAGGCGCGAAAGCGUGGGGAGCAAACAGGAUUAGAUACCCCUGUAGUC
rnacentral:rRNA from 1 species